GCGCCCUAAGGCUGCCAGGCAAAGGGGCGACGCGCGUCCCCAUUAUUGCGCGCGCCGCCGCGCCCUUCCAGGUGCCCUCGCGUACCUGGCGGCGGUGUCCGUGCCUCGGAGACCGCCGGCCGGCUGGGGCGCGGGAGGUGCGCGCGCUCGCGCGGGGGUCGGGGCCUCCCGGCGGCUGCGCCCCCUCCGCCGCUCCCCGGGCGCCGAUCGCCGCCCUCCCGCCCCGAGUGGGGCCGCGGGCGGUAGCGGCCCCGGGCUCCCGGCCGCUGCCUGGGAGCCAAAGGGUCAGAUUUAGUUUCACAACAAAGUCUCUUCGUCACAGCAACCCGACUGGAGGCCAAAGCGGCCGGGCACCGGGGCAGGGGCCGGAGCGCCGCCGGCGUGGCCGAAGGAGGAUGAAGAUCCAGCCCACUAGCUUAGAUCGAGAUUUGCUUCAGAGCAUCAGUGGGAGAAGACCGGACCAUAUGGGAACAGCCAAGAGUCAAGCCAACUCUUCAGAUCUCCUUGGUUGAUAACAAGGAUCUUGAGGGCAGGAACUCUGGCCAGAGCACAGGGCCUGGAACAUCUUGGGAUUGUUGAAGAGACGUCUACCCCAAGUCUUGAUGAGUUGUCACUACAGCAGGUCAUCAGUUGGAAUGGCUGGGGAUUAGACUUCUUGACUGGACUUGGCUUUAUCAUGUCUCUUGGCAGCACUGGGUAAAGAAGCUUAUGUCCCUGGUGAUAUCAAGAUCUUACCAUCCCAGCUGCUAGCCCUUCUCAGUGGUGCUGCAGCAUGGAUGUAUUGGUGGGACAAGGACUUUUUUCCUUGCCUUCACUGAAACUGUCAAUAAAAUGAUUUUUUUCUCCCA
rnacentral:lncRNA from 1 species